GGUGUAGUUAAUAGCUGCAUUACUUGACGUUAGCGACAGAAGAAGCACCGGCUAACUCCGUGCCAGCAGCCGCGGUAAUACGGAGGGUGCGAGCGUUAAUCGGAAUUAUCUGGGCGUAAAGCGCAUGCAGGUGGUUUGUUAAGUCAGAUGUGAAAGCCCGGGGCUCAACCUCGGAAUAGCAUUUGAAACUGGCAGACUAGAGUUCUGUAGAGGGGGGGUAGAAUUU
rnacentral:rRNA from 1 species